GGGGGGGGGGGGGGGGGGGGGGGGGGGGGGGGGGGGGGGGGGGGGGGCCCGGCUUGGGUGGGGUGCGCGAGGGGCGAGGGGGUGAGUGACACGUGGGUAACCUGCCCUUGACUUUGGGCUAACGUCAGGAAACUGGGGCUAAUACCGGAUGGGCUCUCCUGCUGCAUGGUGGGGGUUGGAAAGUUUCGGCGGUUGGGGAUGGACUCGCGGCUUAUCAGCUUGUUGGUUGGGUAGUGGCUUACCAAGGCUUUGACGGUUAGCCGGCCUGGGAGGGUGAACGGCCACAUGGGGCCUGAGAUACGGCCCAGACUCCAACGGGAGGCAGCAGUGGAGAAUAUUACACAAUGGGCGGGAGCCUGAGGCAGCAGCGCCGCGUGCGGGAUGACGGCCUUCGGGUUGGAAACCGCUUUCGCCUGUGACGAAGCGUGAGUGACGGUAAUGGGUAAAGAAGCACCGGCUAACUACGUG
rnacentral:rRNA from 1 species